rfam:Rattus norvegicus chromosome 1, whole genome shotgun sequence.
GGGGAUUUAGCUCAGCGGUAGAGCGCUUGCCUAGCAAGCGUGAGGCCCUGGGUUCAGUCCCCAGCUCCG